AACGAACGCUGGCGGCAUGCCUAACACAUGCAAGUCGAACGAAACCUUCGGGUCUAUUGGCGCACGGGUGCGUAACGCGUGGGAAUCUGCCCUUGAGUUCGGAAUAACAGUUGGAAACGACUGCUAAUACCGGAUGAUGACGUAAGUCCAAAGAUUUAUCGCCCAAGGAUGAGCCCGCGUAGGAUUAGCUAGUUGGUUAGGUAAAGGCUCACCAGGGCGACGAUCCUUAGCUGGUCUGAGAGGAUGAUCAGCCACACUGGGACUGAGACACGGCCCAGACUCCUACGGGAGGCAGCAGUGGGGAAUAUUGGACAAUGGGCGAAAGCCUGAUCCAGCAAUGCCGCGUGAGUGAUGAAGGCCUUAGGGUUGUAAAGCUCUUUUAACCGGGAUGAUAAUGACAGUACCGGGAGAAUAAGCUCCGGCUAACUCCGUG
rnacentral:rRNA from 1 species